rnacentral:lncRNA from 1 species
GGCGUCCGUAAAAUUUACGAAGGGAUGAUUUCAACUUCACCAUUUGGAACUCUUGGUUUAAUAGCUUCCUUGUGAGUAGUAACCCUCUAUCAAGAAAAUCAUGAUAGGAAAUGCAAGCACGGGAAUAUCGUAUCAAUUGGGAGAUAUAUACCCCGUAUGCAGGUGCUGCUGGAAUGUUGCUACUUAGAAAUGGAAAGUUCACAAUUGGAAAGCUGAAAUCAUCUCUUUUGUCGUAAAGUUUUAUUUUCAACCGACCCUCAUUGUCAAUUUCUAGAUGUAAGUCAAGAUAUGAAGCCGACCUAACUGUAUCUGUAGUAUCCUUUAUCUCCAAUUCGAUGGGAUAGAU